GAUGAAGAACGUAGCGAAAUGCGAUACUUGGUGUGAAUUGCAGAAUCCCGUGAACCAUCGAGUCUUUGAACGCAAGUUGCGCCCGAAGCCAUCAGGUUGAGGGCACGUCUGCCUGGGCGUCACUUAUCGUUGCCCAAUGCCUAUUGCAGUGCAAUAGGAAUUUCUAGGGCGAAUGAUGGCUUCCCGUGAGCGUUGUUGCCUCGCGGUUGGUUGAAAAUCGAGUCCUUGGUAGGGUGUGCCAUGGUAGAUGGUGGUCGAGUUAGAACGAUACCGAUCAUGUGCAUGCUCCCCAAAAUAUGGCCUCUAUAACCCACACGCGUCUUUUGACGCUCAUGACGAGACCUCAGGUCAGGCGGGGCUACCCGCUGAAUUUAAGCAUAUCAAUAAGCGGAGGA
rnacentral:misc_RNA from 1 species